UACGUAGGGUGCGAGCGUUAAUCGGAAUUACUGGGCGUAAAGCGUGCGCAGGCGGUCAUGCAAGACAGAUGUGAAAUCCCUGGGCUUAACCUAGGAAUUGCAUUUGUGACUGCAUGGCUAGAGUGUGUUAGAGGGGGGUGGAAUUCCAUGUGUAGCAGUGAAAUGCGUAGAUAUGUGGAGGAACACCGAUGGCGAAGGCAGCCCCCUGGGAUAACACUGACGCUCAUGCACGAAAGCGUGGGGAGCAAACAGG
rnacentral:rRNA from 1 species